rnacentral:rRNA from 1 species
AUUGAACGCUGGCGGCAGGCCUAACACAUGCAAGUCGAGCGGAUGAAGAGAGCUUGCUCUCUGAUUUAGCGGCGGACGGGUGAGUAAUGCCUAGGAAUCUGCCUGGUAGUGGGGGAUAACGUCCGGAAACGGGCGCUAAUACCGCAUACGUCCUACGGGAGAAAGCAGGGGACCUUCGGGCCUUGCGCUAUCAGAUGAGCCUAGGUCGGAUUAGCUAGUUGGUGAGGUAAUGGCUCACCAAGGCUACGAUCCGUAACUGGUCUGAGAGGAUGAUCAGUCACACUGGAACUGAGACACGGUCCAGACUCCUACGGGAGGCAGCAGUGGGGAAUAUUGGACAAUGGGCGAAAGCCUGAUCCAGCCAUGCCGCGUGUGUGAAGAAGGUCUUCGGAUUGUAAAGCACUUUAAGUUGGGAGGAAGGGCAGUAAGUUAAUACCUUGCUGUUUUGACGUUACCGACAGAAUAAGGGUCGGCUAACUUCGUGCCAGCCGCCGCAGUAACAC